rnacentral:lncRNA from 10 species
UGGGUCUAGGCAGAGGUCAGCCCAAGGUGGAGAGAAUUUGAGUCCAAGGUUGGCCCAGUCAAGGCCCCAGCCCAGGAGAUGACUUUCCAUAUGGUCUUGGGCAUGUCAGUUCCUAGGUCUGAAGGUCCAAGUUGACCUUGUGGGUUCAGGAGCCCUUACUCUGUGGGAUGUUCAUCACAAUAACAGUUGUCAAACAUCAAACAUAGCAGGCACUCAAAAAUGUCUUUAUUUCCAUUCUCUUUUUUUCUUUCCUUUUACCCCCAACCAAUCUAAGCCAGAGUCAGUUCCAGGUUC